CUCUGCUCCCCAACACCCUUCCAGCGCCUCCCCGCACGCCCCGUCCCGGCAGUCUCGGUCAGCUUGGCUACUUGGGUCUGAAUCCUGUCUCCACCAUUCAGUACUUGGGCAGGGAACUCUUGCCAUUCCACCGCUCUACAUGCAACCCUCCACUAAAGCCAGGCCCCUAGAUUAAGGUUUCUCCAAGAAUGGAUUCGGGCCUUCUCUCGAGACCAAGUCAAGACUAUUCUUCUUCUUGAGAGCCUCACCCUGACCUCGGGAAAAGGAGACCCUGGGCCCUAGGAUGAUCCUCCGUUCCAGACCCAGAACCGUCGCCCCUAUCCAGCAGGAAGUAGCCAGAGAGAUACGGCGCCCUUUUCCCCAUUUUUUAUGAUUUCAGGGUCUGGAACGAAGGCAUCCUUGGGCCUAGAAAAGAAAACAACGGUCUCAAAGGCCCUUGCUGAGUCAUCUAACUUCAGGGAAAACAAAACCAAACUUUAAGUCCCGCCUUAAUGCUCUGGGCUGGUUGCAUCUACCUGGGACUUAUCACCCUCUGCCCAGAAACCUCCCACCCUCUGUUCAACUACAAAUGCCAUCUCACUGAAGAUUACCCCAAACGUCCUGCCUGCCUAACGUUUCCCUUAUCGCUUCCACAAACCUCCCUUUAAAUAUGAAGCCUCCCUGAUCCCUCGCGCUCAGCCUGGUUGUUAGACUGA